UUAGUAACACGUGGGUGAUCUGCCCUGCACUUCGGGAUAAGCUUGGGAAACUGGGUCUAAUACCGGAUAGGAACCAUCUUUAGUGUGGUGGUUGGAAAGUUUUUUCGGUGUAGGAUUAGCUCGCGGCCUAUCAGCUUGUUGGUGGGGUAAUGGCCUACCAAGGCGGCGACGGGUAGCCGGCCUGAGAGGGUGUACGGCCACAUUGGGACUGAGAUACGGCCCAG
rnacentral:rRNA from 1 species